AUUGAACGCUGGCGGCAUGCCUUACACAUGCAAGUCGAACGGUAACAGGCCGCAAGGUGCUGACGAGUGGCGAACGGGUGAGUAAUGCAUCGGAACGUGCCCAGUCGUGGGGGAUAACUGCUCGAAAGAGCAGCUAAUACCGCAUACGACCUGAGGGUGAAAGCGGGGGACCGUAAGGCCUCGCGCGAUGGGAGCGGCCGAUGUCAGAUUAGCUAGUUGGUGGGGUAAAGGCCUACCAAGGCAACGAUCUGUAGUUGGUCUGAGAGGACGACCAGCCACACUGGGACUGAGACACGGCCCAGACUCCUACGGGAGGCAGCAGUGGGGAAUUUUGGACAAUGGGCGCAAGCCCGAUCCAGCAAUGCCGCGUGCAGGAAGAAGGCCUUCGGGUUGUAAACUGCUUUUGUCAGGGAAGAAAUCUGCUGGGCUAAUACCCCGGGAGGAUGACGGUACCUGAAGAAUAAGCACCGGCUAACUACGUGCCAGCAGCCGCGGUAACAC
rnacentral:rRNA from 1 species